GAACCGUCCAAACGUUAUUCGGAAUUACUGGGGCUUAAAGGGGUGCGUAGGCGGCGCGACAAGUCAGAUGUGAAAUCCCUCGGGCUCAACCGAGGGAAUUGCGUUUGAAACUGUCGUGCUUGAGGGAGACAGAGGUGAGCGGAACUGAUGGUGGAGCGGUGAAAUGCGUUGAGAUCAUCAGGAACACCGGUGGCGAAGGCGGCUCACUGGGUCUCUUCUGACGCUGAGGCACGAAAGCUAGGGGAGCGAACGGGAUUAGAUACCCCGGUAGUCCUAGCUGUAAACGAUGAGCACUUGAUUGAAGACCCUCCCAUAGGUUUUCGGUCGAAGCGAAAGUGUUAAGUGCUCCGCCUGGGGAGUAUGUCCGCAAAGGAUG
rnacentral:rRNA from 1 species